GUGGGGAAUAUUCCGCAAUGGACGAAAGUCUGACGGAGCAACGCCGCGUGAGUGAUGAAGGUUUUCGGACUGUAAAGCUCUGUUGUUUAGGACGAAAGUGCCUGUUGCGAACAGUUACAGGUAUUGACGGUACUGAACGAGGAAGCCACGGCUAACUACGUGCCAGCAGCCGCGGUAAUACAUAGGUGGCAAGCGUUGUCCGGAAUUAUUGGGCGUAAAGAGCAUGUAGGCGGGAAUCUAAGUCUGUUGUGAAAAUGCGGGGCUCAACCCCGUAUUGCGAUGGAAACUGGGUUUCUUGAGUGCAGGAGAGGAAAGGGGAAUUCCCAGUGUAGCGGUGAAAUGCGUAGAUAUUGGGAGGAACACCAGUGGCGAAGGCGCCUUUCUGGACUGUGUCUGACGCUGAGAUGCGAAAGCCAGGGUAGCGAACGGGAUUAGAUACCCUGGUAGUCC
rnacentral:rRNA from 1 species